rnacentral:rRNA from 1 species
GACGAGUGGCCCAAGCAUUAAUCGGAAUCACUGGGCUUAAAGGGUGCGCAGGCGGACCGGAAAGCGUCUUGUGAAAUCCCCCGGCUCAACCGGGGAACUGCGGGGCGAACUUCCGGUCUUGAGGCAGGUAGGGGCCGACGGAACUAUCGGUGGAGCGGUGAAAUGCGUAGAUAUCGAUGGGAACGCCAGUGGCGAAGGCGGUCGGCUGGGACUGUCCUGACGCUCAGGCACGAAAGCGUGGGGAGCAAACAGG